rnacentral:lncRNA from 1 species
CAGGUGUGGACAAUGGGGUGUUGGCUACUCUUUGGGCCAUGCUCCAGCAAGUCAGAAGUUUCACGAGGUUGAUCCUAGAACAGGGCAAUAUAAGGGGUGCGAAGGAAGCAAUACUGCAACAGAAAUACUCCUGAGUGCUCUGUGAGGAAGCAUUCUCUCAGCACAACCUGGUCCCUGUGCCUCCAGCCCUGCCCAGCUAAGGCAGAGAACCCGGAGUGGUCAGAACAGCUCUGCCAUGUGCUGCCCUGCUCAGCUGCCCUCUGCGCCAAGGAUGAGUGCACAGCAGCUCUUGAUAAAAAAAGAUCACUCCAGCAAAUCUCAGAGAUUGCAGGGCAGAAAAGAUUUCUGUUCCCAGUCCACUUGGCAUGCAAGUCAAAAUAGCCCGGGCCUCUUCUGCCAGUGGCUGAAGUGAAGACGCCCAACACUGUGCUGAGGGAUGACAAGCCACAGCCCAGGAGCUCAGCUGUGCCACUGAUGACUGCCCUCAAACAGGUGGGAGCAGCCGAGAUCCAGACAUUUCUUGCUGCUCACAGAGGGAAUGAGUUCCCACACCUGGUGCUUCUCAGAUCUCGCUCAGCAGGACACAGACAGGGCUGCUUCCCUGCCCUGCAGUGACACACGGAGGGCAGGAUCUGGAAGCAGUGCUGAUGCACAGCAUCCUACUAGUACAUUCUGUCUUUUGCUUGGCAGCCAAACGUGGGACUUCCUUCUGAUGCCAUGUUGCCUUUCACUUACAUCGGAUUGUGAGGGGUUGUUUCAUCGGCAACAAAAGAGUGAAAUGGAAUAAGGAAUAAACAAGAAGCAAGACAAAGCUGUCACUGCAUUUGUUACCAGCUGAAAGAAAAAGAGGCAAAAACCUCCUGCAGCAGAGACUUGAUAAUCACUUUCCCAAACGAUACUGUUAUUGUAAUUGCCAAACUCUUUGUAAAGCAGCAUAUAGCUACAGUCAUUGCAGCGCUGGAAUUGUCCACGAGGACGAACAUGUAGCAUAGAAAAGAAAUAAGGAUGGUACCAUCAGUGAAAAUCUUCAUUAUCGGGAGAGGGUGGAGAAGCUGAGAUCAUCUUCAAAGAGAAAGGAAAGUGCUUCAGGGGCAUUUCUACAUAUUUUCAGGUCAGCGAAAGGGAAUUGUGUUUAUACAUUUUUCUUAGCCUGAAAGAAUUUUAAACAACUAGGAGAAAAUAGGAUGAAAUGGGGAGUUCAAAUGGAAAUCUGCAAGGCUAUCAGUCUUUCCCAGUGUACCACCAAGACAUUGACGCAAUGUCAUCUGGAGCCAGUCUGUUAUAACUGAGGCUUUUGAAACAUAAUGAACUUUGCCAUUUCAAAUUAGUACUGACAAACAAAAUAGCUGACUUAUCUCUACUCAGAAAUUACUCCAAGGAAAGAAAAUGCAGGCAAUUUAGUAGGAGACUUGGUGCUUACAGAAAGUAUUUGUGAUGACAAAUUUGUUAGUGAGACAUCUCUCUGAGUUGAAGUCACAGGUGAAAGGGGAAAUACCCAGAGUAGGGGCCACUCCAGUCUGGGAACCUUUGUGUCACAGAGACAGGCAUGGUUUGAUCAGGGAAUUUCAAGAGAUACAGCAGAAGAGCAGUACUUGGUAUCCCCUCUGCUUCAGAGGCAUCAGUUCAUACUGUGUCCUUGCGUUGUUUUCAAAGCCAGGCAGACAGCAUCCUGACCACACGGAGGGAUGUAGAAGUCUUCAGGAACAACCUCUUAUUCCUUUCAGUCCCUGGAGAAGUUACAGAAAAAGCCACAUCUCACUGCAAAGGAGCUAAAUCUCUUAAUGGAAAAGCCUUCUGUAUAAUGAGUACCUUCAAAACAAAUGUAAAUUCUCACACACCGCUAAUGUCAAAUGAGAAAUUCCUGUGCAGGGCUGAGCCCCAGGUGAGUAACCAACCAUAUUAGCUCGAAGCAUCAGUUGCUGGCAUUUGAAAGGUAUCGGGUGUGUCUGGCCCAUUAUAAAUGACUGUAAACACUUGAACUUCAAACUGAUAAAAGUUUAAGUGUAUAGAUCGUUGCUAAUGGCUGAGCAUUGAAAUAGCAAACUACAUUCUUUAAAGGACUCCACUGUAUCUUUGAAUAUACACAGAAACUCAAAAACUUAACCAAAACAAAAGCUGUGCAAUAUUUCUGGAGUUACACUAACAUCAAGAAACAUCAGAGAUCCCACUGUGCUGAAAUUUAUGGUGGGGCUGACCAAAACUGGUGAUGUAGGAAGGAGACAUUUAGUACAAGCAUGCUGCCUGGACUUCUAAAGUGAACUGCAGAGUACAUGCCUCUCCAGUGGCAAGCCAUCCUAUCUAGUUUAAAGAGGAAUCUCUAGCUGGAAGCCAUUCUUUCUCCAUUCACUAGAUGGACCCAGGCAGCUCCAAAAAGUUGAGAGAAAUUUAUAGUACUUUUAGUGAAGAACAAUUUCUUCCUUGACUAACAUAUCAUAAAAGACAAUGGAGAGAAACCCUAAUGCAACAGCUCCCAGAGGGGGAUGUGAUAAGAGACUGCAGACUGGACCUGUGGAUCCAGAAGGAUGAUGUUUAACCCUCACGUUGAGCACAGUUGCUGGCCGAGCC